GGGGGUAUAGCUCAGCUGGGAGAGCAGCAGACUGAAGUCGCGCUGAGGUGUAUACUUGUUUCUUUCUGAAGGUCCCGCGUUCGAUCCGCGGUACCCCCA